AGAGUUUGAUCCUGGCUCAGAUUGAACGCUGGCGGCAUGCCUAACACAUGCAAGUCGAACGGCAGCACAGGUGGCAAUACCGGGUGGCGAGUGGCGGACGGGUGAGUAAAGCAUCGGGAUCUACCCUGACGUGGGGGAUAACCUCGGGAAACCGGGACUAAUACCGCAUACGUCCUACGGGAGAAAGCGGGGGACCUUCGGGCCUCGCGCGGCAGGACGAACCGAUGUGCGAUUAGCUAGUUGGCGGGGUAACGGCCCACCAAGGCGACGAUCGCUAGCUGGUCUGAGAGGAUGAUCAGCCACACUGGGACUGAGACACGGCCCAGACUCCUACGGGAGGCAGCAGUGGGGAAUAUUGGACAAUGGGCGCAAGCCUGUUCCAGCAAUGCCGCGUGUGUGAAGAAGGCCUU
rnacentral:rRNA from 1 species